rnacentral:rRNA from 1 species
CAGGGAACAACUUCUUGUGGCUCUUUUUGGUGGAAGGAUAUUUGUAAGGUCUUGCAGAAUUUUAGGGACUGCUCCUGGGUGCAGGUCAAUGCUGGGGACACUGCUCUCUUUUGGUCUGAUAACUGGAAUCUUGGCAAUGAAGUUUCUAGCUUGCAGUCUAGAUUCCCAAGAUUAUUCUCUUUUGCCAAGGAUCCAUGGAUUUCUGUUAAGGCCAUCUUCAAUUCAAUAGACUUGUACCAACACUUUCACCUACCUUUGUCUGCUCAAGCUUUUGAUGAGCUAAACUUGAUAAGAAAUAUGUUGGUCUCCCAUACAAGAGAUGACACUUGUAAGGAUUUAUGGUUCUGGCAGGGCUCUUCAAAGGUUUACAAACCUAAGCUGUUCUAUGGUCAUGUUUUUCAGAAUGAAACAUUCAACCACUUGCUGUGCUGGAUCUGGAAAUCCUCUUGCACUAUCAAGAUCAAGGUUUUUGCAUGGAUGCUCAUCAUGGAUAGACUCAACACUAAGGAUAUGGUUGAUAGAAGGCACUGGCACAUGGAUGAUGGUGUUACUUGUAGGCUAUGCCCCCUUCAAGUGAGAGAAACUAGAGACCAUCUCUUCUUCAACUGCAAUUUUAGUGUCAGAGUUUGGAAUUAUUUGCAGAUCGAUUGGUCGGCUGGAACUUCAAUGUCUGACCUAGUCAUCCAGGCAAGGAGAAGUUUUGAUAAGCCCUUU